rnacentral:tRNA from 1 species
GCCUUCGUGGUGUAGUGGACAGCAUGCUCGACGCGUAAUCGAGAGGUCCGUGGUUCGAUUCCCGGCGAAGGCG